rnacentral:rRNA from 1 species
AGAUGGGAGCUUGCUCCCUGAUGUUAGCGGCGGACGGGUGAGUAACACGUGGGUAACCUGCCUGUAAGACUGGGAUAACUCCGGGAAACCGGGGCUAAUACCGGAUGCUUGAUUGAACCGCAUGGUUCAAUUAUAAAAGGUGGCUUUUAGCUACCACUUACAGAUGGACCCGCGGCGCAUUACCUAGUUGGUGAGGUAACGGCUCACCAAGGCAACGAUGCGUAGCCGACCUGAAAGGGUGAUCGGCCACACUGGGACUGAAACACGGCCCAAACUCCUACGGGAGGCAGCAGUAGGGAAUCUUCCGCAAUGGACGAAAGUCUGACGGAGCAACGCCGCGUGAGUGAUGAAGGUUUUCGGAUCGUAAAACUCUGUUGUUAGGGAAAAACAAGUACCGUUCGAAUAGGGCGGUACCUUGACGGUACCUAACCAAAAAGCCACGGCUAACUACGUGCCAGCAGCCGCGGUAAUACGUAGGUGGCAAGCGUUGUCCGGAAUUAUUGGGCGUAAAGCGCGCGCAGGCGGUUUCUUAAGUCUGAUGUGAAAGCCCCCGGCUCAACCGGGGAGGGUCAUUGGAAACUGGGGAACUUGAGUGCAAAAAAGGAGAGUGGAAUUCCACGUGUAGCGGUGAAAUGCGUAGAGAUGUGGAGGAACACCAGUGGCGAAGGCGACUCUCUGGUCUGUAACUGACGCUGAGGCGCGAAAGCGUGGGGAGCGAACAGGAUUAGAUACCCUGGUAGUCCACGCCCGUAAACGAUGAG